AAAAGAUAGAAACAAAAUGUAUUCAUAUUGUGGGGCAAUUUGCUCUAAAAUUGAACAAAAAACAUUUUGAUAGUGUUAUCUCCAUUUUCAUAGAAAUACAUGGGGUACGACUAAUAUAUACUCUCAACUGAAGGAAAAAUGGUUAAGUUUUGUUGUGUAUGGGUUUUUCAGUGUGUGUGAGUAUGUGCGUAUAUAAUUCGUCUCACAGUCAGAGUUCAAUCCACUCUGUAAAGGGUCUGUUUUGUUCAGUUCAAUCCAGUUUCACAAACAUAAAAGAAACACAACUCAAGAGUCUGCUCCGGCUGAUCCCCACAAAACAAAACACACCAAAGAUGCUAGAAAAGCAACACAGUACAUAAAAUAAGCACAGCAGAAACAUCAGAUAUGUUGGACCACUGUAUAUAUCUUCAAACGUUACAGUUACAGCUGAAAAUUACAACAGAAAUAAACAAAUUUGCCGAGUUCACAUAUGUCCACAAUUCAUAUCAACUGCCAGCUGUCAACUUGGAAGUGACUGUCAGUGUGACGUCACAAUCUAUUGCUCUAAUCAGUGGCGGAGUAAUUUUUAUAGUGAUGAGGCAUUUUUCAUUUGAGCACAGCUAGGUGUGCUGUCAUGCUGAUUUGAUCAUGUUCUAAAUGUUAAGUUGACCAAUCAGAUUGCUUGGUCAGAACUACCUGUUGUAUAACACCAUGUAUAAAAGCAUUUAUGCAACAAAUCACAUGUUGAUACAAAAAAACAGCUCACGUGAAGAAAAAGCAUACAUUUCGAUUGUCAUAGCUGGUACAGGUGCAAUUAAUAUUACUAAAGAGUGCAUUUAUUGCUUCUCAGUUACACUUUUUCUGCUAUUUUCUGUAUAUUGUAACAGUAUAUUUUUUGAAGCUGUUUCUGUUUAUUAUUUAUUUAUUGCAUCUGUUAUACUGUUUCCAUUUCAGGACUGAUUUUACUUCUCAAUAUUUAAGUGCAUUUUAUAUCUGUGAAUUCAUGUCUGCCAUCAAUGAGUGAAUCUUUUUUUUUUUUUUUCAAUUUGAAAUGGUUAAUACUGUAUCUGAUCUAUUGCUCGUGUUCUAUUCACCUCCAGCAAAAAUGUUCAAAGGAAGAGCUCUCUCCAUGGAUGAUGGCAAAGUCCAAGGUUGUAGAAAGCCUGAGGUUUAGAAGUCUUACACAAAGCCUGAAGUAACAAAUUGUCUGCCUCUCCCUCAAGCAUCUGAGUAGCAAAACCUGGACUUCUUGUUGUAGGUGCAAUCUCAAACUGUAGAGAAGAAAUAGAACUAACAAAUUGGACAUUGCAGCUUGCUUCCCCUAGAGGUUUCCCCCCAUCAGAAGUGGCCUAGCUGUGAUGGAUUGGCAUCCUGAAGUGUCGUUGGGUACUUCGCAGCAGAAGUAAGCUGCUGCCAGUAAGCUGGAUGCCAAUCGCUGUAAAACAAGAAGAACAAGAAGAAGCAUCGUUGACUUCAAAAAUUGUGGCAGAUUCUGCAGCCACAUGUCGCCUCUGACAGAGACCAAAUUACUGACGCAUGGAUGAAGACGUCAUCAACGAGGCCAUUGAAAACACCACUGCUGGGAUUUAUGUUCUUAAAGAUCAUGCUUCAAGUGGCGAACCAGAGGACAUUGGAAUUGUUCUUGAAGGCAUUAAGGUGAUGCAAGAUCUGGAUAAUGUAGCAUUAGCUGUUUGCGAUACUGUUCGGACUGAUGUACGCCCUGCACCUCAGCUACCCUGUUGACCUCUGCUAUACCUUUGAGGUAAUCCAAAAGAUUUUCAUGGAAUUGGAUGGAUGUAAACUUUCUAAAAAAGCACUCACUCAAAAAAGCAGGCUAUUUCAGUGAAAGGGUCAGAGACUGUGCCGUCAGCGGUAAACCACAAGACAUUUAAAUUGUCCUCAAAGGCAUCUUUGGUAUUGCUACAGGAUACCAUUUGGACUGCUUUUUCAUUUUCUCUUGUGAAUCCACUGUUCUAAGUUGACAGUAUUUCCUCUCAUGAAUCCAUUAUGAAAACAGUUUAAAGAGGGUUUGCAACUUGUUUGCUGCUCUGAGUCAACUUUAAAAACUGCUGCAGUAUUUUGUAUUUGCUGCCUUGAAUCCUCUUUGACAACGGCUUAUACAAGGUUUACAUGUAUAUUUGUGUUUAUUCCUCAGGGGAAACAGUUUACGCAGGGUUUUGUUUUGUUUUUUUCAUUUGCAAAUCUACUUUGAAAAUACUGUUUUCAGCAAUGUGAAAAUGGUGUAUGCAGGGUUAACCUUGGGAGUAAACUUUUUAACAAAGCACUAGCUUUAAUUUGCCUUAUUCACUUUGUGCCAUGUUUGGUUUACUUCAGUGAAAUAGUGUUCUUCUUGUUUUGUAUUUGCUCUUGGGAAUGCACUGUUUGUACUAACAGUUCACAUAAUUUGUAUUUGCACUUUUAUACCUACUGUGACAACAGUUUGUUCUAGGCUUAUAAAUGUCUUUGCUGUUCUAAUCCACUCUGAAGAUAUGUUUGAAGUAUGUAUAUGCUUCUAUUGAUACACUGUGAAAAAGGUUAAUGCAAGGUUACGUUAUAUGUAUUGUCAAUCCAUUGCAUUUUAUGCAGAAUUUACAGUAUUUUUGUUGUGAAUCCACUGUGAAAACAGUUAUGUGUGGUCUGCAUUAUUAUGUAUUUGUGUAUUUGUGUCCACUGCUGUUGAUACAGGGUUUACAGUGUCUAGUUUUUGUGUUUUGAUUCCUCUUUGAAAUCAGUUUACAGCAACUCCAUUUUGGGUAAAGUUUUCCUGCAAAGUUUUAAGGCUCAAUGUAACAAAAUUAUAGUACAGAACUCUGA